ensembl:lncRNA collagen alpha-2(I) chain-like
AGAUGGUGGCACCUUGGGGACGGGAGGGGACAGCACUGAGCCGGGAGGGGACAGCGGGGACACGGGAGGGGACGGCGACGGCACUGGGGGUGGCACCGUGGGGACGGGAGGGGACACCAGCGACAUGGGAGAGGUCAGCGGUGACACGAGGGGGGACGGCGGUGACACAGAGGAUGUCCCCAGUGGCGCUGGAGAUGCCACCACUGAGCUGGGACAGGUCACAAGUGGCACGAGAGGGGACACCAGUGACACGAGAGGUGACACCGGUGACACAGAGGAUGUCCCCAGUGGCGCUGGAGAUGCCACCAUGGGGACAGGAGGUGCCACCACCGACCUGGGACAGAACACCGGUGACACGAGAGGGGACGUCCAUGACACGAGAGGGGACGCCGAUGACACGAGAGGUGACAUCAGUGACACGAGAGGUGACACAGGGGACGUCCCCUUUAGCUCUGGAGGUGGCCCCGUGGGGACAGGAGAUGCCACCGCUGACCCAGGACAGGCCACCGCCACCGGGGGAAGAGGUGACAGCGGUGACACAAAGGAGGCCACCACCCGGACGGGACAGAGCGACGGUGACACGGGAGGUGACACCGGUGACAGAAGAGGUGACACUGGUGACCCAGGAGGUGACACCCAUGACAUGGGAGGUGACACUGGUGACCCAGGAAGUGACACCGGUGACAGAAGAGGUGACACCGGUGACCCAGGAGGUGACACCGGUGACAGAAGAGGUGACACCGGUGACCCAGGGGACGUCCCCUUUGGGCUCGGCGGGACGUGGGGUGUCCCCACGGACACGGGAGCUGCCACCUCUGUCACUCCCAGCGUCAUCUCCCCCCCUGGUGGCACUGAUGUCCCCAGCGGUGCCACCAAGGACCCAGGGGACGCAGCCCCCAGAGAUGCCACCACCGUCCCACGCGGUGUCACCUCCGCCGCCGGUGACAUCGGUGUCCCCAGCCCGGACACGAGGGGCACCGCCCCCCAUCCCGCCCCGGGGGGGACAAGGGGGACGAGCCCCCGUGUCCCCAACGCUGACGGUGGCGGGCGCCGAUGUCCCCAAGGUCGGGGGACACGGAGAGGAGGGGGUGGCCCCGGUGGCCCUUGGGGACGUCCCCCCCCAAAAGGGGUCCCCAGGGAUGGCCCCGAGGGGGUCCCCGCUGAUGGCCCCCGAGUGGCACCCAGAGGUGACCCCGAAGGUGACACCGGAGAUGUCCCCAAUGUCCCCAGAGAGGGAGCAGGUGGCCCCAGAGGGCUCCUCGGCGAUGUCCCCAAAGGGGUCCCCACAUCCGUCCCCAGUGUCCCCAAAGGGGUCCCCAUAUCUGUCCCCGAUGUCCCCAAAGGGGUCCCCAUAUCCGUCCCCAAUGUCCCCAAAGGGGUCCCCAUAUGUGACCCCAAUGUCCCCAAAGGGGUCCUCGGAGGUGGCCCCGGCGAUGUCCCCGAUGUCCCCAGAGAAGCCCUUGGAAAUGUCCCCAGAGGGGUCUUCGGAAUUGUCCCCAACGUCCCCAAAGGGACCCCCAGAGGUGGCCCCGGAGAUGUCCCCACGGAGGCGCCCCGUGUCCCCAAAGGGGUCCCCGAAGGCGGCCCCGGAGAUGUCCCCACAGCGCUGUCAAAUGUCCCCAAAUGGCUCCUCGGAAGUGACCCCGAUGUCCCCAAAGGCGGCCGGGGAGAUGUCCCCAGAGAGGGGACACGUGUCCCCAAAUGGCUCCUCGGAAGCGUCCCCGAUGUCCCCAGAGGGGACCCCGGAGAGGCACCACGCGUCCCCAGAGCGCUCCCCAGGGGUCCCCCCCAUGUCCCCGUGUGGGUCCCCGAAAGUGGCCCCGGGGACGUCCCCAAAGGGGACCUCGGCUUUGUCCCCGGUGUCCCCAAAGGGCUCCUCGGAGAUGUCCCCAAGGGGCUCCUCGGAAACGUCUCAGAUGUCCCCAGAGGGGUCCUCGGAGGUGGCCCCGUUGUCCCCAGGGGGCUCCUCGGAGAUGUCCCCAAAUGGGUCCUCAGAAACGUCCCGGAUGUCCCCCAAGGGCUCCUCGGAAACGUCCCCCAAGGGCUCCUCGGAUGUCCCCCCCCCCGGGGCCCCCCCAAACGGGAGCUGGGGGCGGUGCCCCGGCGGGGACCCGGCGCGAUGUCCCCAAGGGUCCCCCCGAAGUUCCCCCGGGCGCUGCCCCGAGAAGUUCCCCAAGGGGUCCCCGAGGCGCUCCCCGAAGGGGUCCCCCCGAAAACCCCCGGACGCGUCCCCAAAGGGCUCCCCAAAGGGCUCCCCAAGACGGCGGCGAGAGACGUCCCCGCGAAGACCCCCGGACGCGUCCCCAAAGGGAUCCCCGCGGCGACGCCGAGAGGGGUCCCCAAAGGGCUCCCCAAGAAGAAGACCCCCCGAGACGCCCCCCAAGGGCUCCCCGAGACGCCGCCGAGAGGCGUCCCCGAGAAGAGCCCCCGAGACGCCCCCAAAGGGGUCCCCCAGGAGACCCCCGGAGCCGUCCCCG